AUAUUGGUCAAUGGCCUAACGGCUGAACCAGCAACUUGCAGGAAUGAGAGUUAAUAUAAUAAGUUUAUUAACUUGCUUGACUAGGUCUUAUAAAGUUCUGGAUAAAGCUUAUUAUGAAAACUUUAUAUCCAUAGGUCUCGACCAAAUCUUGUGCCAGCAGUCGCGGUAAGACAAGGGAGACGAGUGUUAUUCAUCUUUAACAGGUAUAUAGGGUACCUAGACGGUGUGCAAUGGCUUAAAUAAGUACCUGGUACACUUGAGUUUGAUAUGUGAGAGGAAUAUGUCGGAAUUGUUGGAGGAAAGAUGAAAUUUGUUAAUACCAAUAGGACUGAUAACGGCGAAGGCAAACCUCUAUGUACAUGUACUUGCUAUCUCUCUAUUAGAGAGGAACAGAAAUUUCUCUUAUAAAAAAUCUUAUAUAAAAAAAGAGGAAAACAGCAAUGUGCUAUAACUGACGUUGAGGGACGAAGGCUCAGAGAGUGAAGAGGAUUAGAUACCCCCGUAACCUGGGCAGACAAUGAUGAGUGCCAUAGGUUGGCUUUAAGGCGGAACUAUAAAUGAAAGUGGAAGCACUCCACCUCAAGAGUAAUGUGGCAACGCAGGAACUGAAAUCAUUAGACCGUUUCUGAAACCAGUAGUGAAGUAUGUUAUUUAAUUCGAUGAUCCGCGAAUAACCUUACCACAAUUUGAAUGACCUAAAAUAUUUUUUUUGAAUUUUUAGACCACAUGCGUUGCAUGGCUGUCUUCAGUUAAUGUCGUGAGA
rnacentral:rRNA from 1 species